UGAGCAGGCACAUGUACUGCUCUAACACAAAUUUCACAUCCUAACUUUCUGAUUUUACAUCCUACACUGCUCCAGUUCAAAGAACUCGAUUCUUCUGUCUUCUUCGUUAGUUUCAGAACUUCUUUCACCUCUUUUCUCUAUUUUUUACUCUUUCAAAGUACGACUUUUUUCUGUUGAUGGGUCUAUGAUGGUGAUUUACUGCAUGAGAGCCCUGAGAAUACUUAAAAUUGGGUUCUCUAAUGGAAAUGGAGUAUUGAUGUAUACGUAACUGGCGGUGAAUUUGAGGUGGACCGUGCACCUAAGUUGUUUGACUAUAUGUCUGCAAGGAGUUUGGGUCAUUUUUUCCCCUCACUCUUUAGACAGAGACAGCUUCUUACUGAUCUCACUGAAUAGAUAGGACCAAGAAAUGCAUUAUAGAGACUUGAACAACAAUUGUUCUUUGGCACUUGGCACAAUGAUGGACUUUAUUGUUGACGUCGAGUCUCUUGGUAAACAGAUACUAAUUACAUUUCUAGAGAGAAGUAAGGAUGAGUUUACCAAUAAAUAUAGAGGAGGCAAAGCUGCUACAGCUGUUUCUAGCAGCUUGAAGAGGGAAUUUGGAUAAUGUACAUUUCUUUUGUUAUUCUCUACUUCCUCCUCUAUGCUUGAGGCUAUUGAGAGUGAUAACCGCCUUCACCAUAACAAUAACAUACAACAAUAAACUUAAGUAGCAAAUGCCAUAUUGUGUGGAUCAUCCAGAGGAAGUUAGUAAGCUUGCUAGGUGAAGGCUCAGGUUUCAAAAGUUAAAGGUGCGAUAAUGGAAAACAUUGAGAAAGUAGACUAUACUAACAUCCUUUUUUGAUUGUACUCUUUCAAAAGACUAGAUUUCUUCAUUUGACACCGGAAAGACGCCAAGAAAUUGUGUGUGGCUGGUUAAUGUGAAUUAUAGCCUUGCGCAUGUUCUUGUGCGAGGGAAGAAGAUCAAGCUUUGUAGAUGAAUCUGCUGUUACUUUUAUGCUUCUGUUCGGUUUUUAUCCUAAUUGGAAGAUACUUCUUACAUAAAAAGAGUACGUUGGGUACCUUGCAUUCUAACCUAAAAAGUCACAGUUGCUCCACUAUU